rnacentral:rRNA from 1 species
AGUGAACGCUGGCGGUAGGCCUAACACAUGCAAGUCGGACGGCAGCACAGUAAGAGCUUGCUCUUACGGGUGGCGAGUGGCGGACGGGUGAGGAAUACAUCGGAAUCUACUUUUUCGUGGGGGAUAACGUAGGGAAACUUACGCUAAUACCGCAUACGACCUACGGGUGAAAGCAGGGGAUCUUCGGACCUUGCGCGAUUGAAUGAGCCGAUGUCGGAUUAGCUAGUUGGCGGGGUAAAGGCCCACCAAGGCGACGAUCCGUAGCUGGUCUGAGAGGAUGAUCGGCCACACUGGAACUGAGACACGGUCCAGACUCCUACGGGAGGCAGCAGUAGGGAAUAUUGGACAAUGGGCGCAAGCCUGAUCCAGCCAUACCGCGUGGGUGAAGAAGGCCUUCGGGUUGUAAAGCCCUUUUGUUGGGAAAGAAAAGCAGCAGGUUAAUACCCCGCUGUUCUGACGGUACCCAAAGAAUAAGCACCGGCUAACUUCGUG